GACGAACGCUGGCGGCGUGCUUAACACAUGCAAGUCGAACGGAAAGUUCCUGCCUUGUUGGGGUGCUCGAGUGGCGAACGGGUGAGUAACACGUGAGUUCCCUGCCCCUCACUUUGGGAUAACUUCAUGAAACUUGGGCUCAUACCGGCUAGGAUCUCCUGCUGCUUGGUGGGGGUUGGUAGGUUUCGCUGGUUGGGGAUGGACUCGCGGCCUAUCAGCUUGUUCGGUGGGUAGUGGAUUACCAAGGCUUUGCAGCGUAGCCGGGCUGCGAGGGUGACCGGACACAUUGCGACUGGGAUGCGACACAGACUACUACGGGAGGCAGCGGUGGAGAGUAGUGCACAAUGGGCUGAAGCAUAAUGCAGCACAGCAGCGUGGGGGAUGACAGGCUUCGGGUUGUAAACCGCUUUCGCCUGUGACGGGACGUGAGUGACAGUAAUGGGUAAAGAAGCACCGGCUAACUACGUG
rnacentral:rRNA from 1 species